rnacentral:lncRNA from 1 species
AGAUGCCAUAACAGAAUACACAGACCGGGUGGCUUAAACAACAGAAAUAGAUUUUCUUGACAUUCUGGAGGUUCAAAAUCUAAGAUCGAGGUGCUGGCAGGGUUAGUUCCUGGCGAGGCCUCUAUUCUCAGCUUGCAGAUGGCCACCUUCUUCUAUGUCCUCACAUGGCCUCUUCUCUGUGCACUCGUGGAAAGAGAUCACUGGUUUCUCUUCCUCUUCUUACAAAAACACCAGCCCUGUCAGAUUAGGGUCCCACCCUUAGGAACCCCAUUUAACUGUAAUUACCUCCUUAAAGGCCCUAUCUUUAAAUAUAGUCAUAUUGUGGGCUGAGGCUUCAACAA